AUAGGCAAGUCCCCUCAAAUUGUUUUUCUAAAUAGACAUGUAAGGUAGAGAGAUAUCCAGAUGCUCUAUAAUAAAUAAACAGGAAAAAUUGGAAAUUAGUACUCAUUUGCUGUUCGUACAUAUACAUAAUGCUAAAGUUUUUAAAUAGUUGUCCUUAUAAUAACAUUAUUGAUUGUUUUUCUAACUAUGUUUGCCUUUUACAUGGAUAGUGAAAACAUUAACUUUAUCUCAGCCUAUUUGAAUUGCAAUGGUUUUAAAUAGAAUCUUUAAAAUAACUUCAUUAUUCUAUUAGUUAACUACUGGUCAGAAUGUUAGUUUUUCAGACAGCACAUUGUUUUGGAGAAUUUAAAUUAAUGAAAUGCAUUUUCCGAUCAUAGAAGGAAUAUUGAGAGAACACUUGAAAAUUUCAAGUCUAGUCAACACUGGUUCCAGUUUUUUUGUUUUUUUUUUAAUCACUACUCCUUUCUGUAUUACUUUUGUGAGAAGACCUUAACACUAAUUUGAAAUGAAAUUUUGUAUUCUCCUAAUGACUAGGGACUGAAGUGUUUAAAUAACCUUUUUCAUCCCCAGGGAGAUGACUGCUGUAGGUCAGUCUUGAGGUCAUUGGCUGAAGAGUUACAAAGAAAGUCAUAGUUUUGGCUGAAGAUAUAGUAAAUUGGACUACGAUAAAGCUGAUGCUUCCUCUGAGAUGAAAGAGAAAAAUAUUCAAUCCUCUCCUCUGAACAUAAAUAAACAUUGGCUAUAGUUAGCCAGUUUGGGUGGGUUGGAGUUUAAAAUAUUUCUAAAUUUGGUACACAUUACCAUAUGUAGUCAGGUUAAAGCUACUGAUGUCUGGGAACAUUUCUGGGAAAACAGAAGUAUAUCCAAGAAAAGAUAAAGAAUCUUAGAACUGUAGAGAUGGAAGCCCUAUGGUGGUCCAUUCUCCUGUGUCUAGAAAGGAUGACAAAGAGUCCAUAAUAAGUAGAAACUCUCUUUGGAGAACUGAAGGAAGAGUGUUUCUGCAGCUUCUUGCUGUAAUGAACUUUCAUUCAGCCUUUGCAUAAAAGAACCUGAUGAAAAGUGGGAAUUUGCAUGAUUAUGGUAAUCAGUGUUACCCUAUCUUGAAAACUCUGUCUUGUCAAUGUCCCCUUAAGAUAUUAAUGUUCCAGGGCUUCCCUGGGGGCGCAGUGGUUGAGAGUCCGCCUGCCGAUGCAGGGGACACGGGUUCGUGCCCCGGUCCGGGAAGAUCCCACAUGCCGCGGAGCGGCUGGGCCCGUGAACCAUGGCCGCUGAGCCUGCGCGUCCGGAGCCUGUGCUCCACAACGGGAGGGGCCACAACAGUGAGAGGCCCACGUACCGCAAAAAAAAAAAAAAAAAAAAAAAAGAUAUUAAUGUUCCAUAUGUGAUGUAUUCAAAGUUCAGAGAAAUUGUACCCUCUUAUCUGCUCACUAAACAUCUAUUAAUGAAGCCCAGUUAUGGUAGUUUUGGGGGCAAUUAUUUACCCUAUUGGUUUCUACUAAUCAUGUGAUCUUUUAUUUUUCUUUUUUCAGUAUACCAACAGCAAUGAUGACCUUUAUUUUCAAAUCAUGGACAAUCAGAGAAAUGGUAAAUGAAGAAAUAAGAAACCAAUUAUAAGACAUUAGCUGCCUGAGAAAGUCCAGGAACAUCUUCUCACUGGAAGAUUCUCAACAUGUCCUUGUGGACAUUUGGGGAAUGGGCACCAAAUCAAUCCCUGCUCUCUCCUGUUCCGUGAUGUGGCCUAUUUCUGGGCCCUCAUCCCUUCAUAUUCAGUAUGAAUUUUGGUUUUAUCUCUUAUAAUGGAACUGAAAAUUAAAAUACUUCAGAGUCCAACUUUGAGGAGCGAGGCAAUAAGUGGAUGAAGGGAUACCUACAAAGAUCUUCUCUCAAAAUACAACUGCAGCCACUUUCCAUUGGGGAGGAUAAGAUGGAGUGCAGAAGUCAGCAGAGAGCUGUCCCUGGAAUCCUACAGGACGUGGCCAGAGACGACACAGGGCAUCUUUACUUCAUGGACCCUCUGCAUUUACUUUCUGGUUUUUAUUGAGGAAUUUUACCUCAAAUUAUUAUAUUUUUCUCAUUACAUAUGUUUUCAAAUAAGUAGGAAAAAUUAGUACAUGCAUAUGGUUUAAAAAAAUCAAGUAGUACAAAAACAGUACAGUGAGAAGUCUUCCUUUAACUGCAGAUUCCAGUCCCUAGAGGCAGACACUCCUGAAAUAUUCUGUCUAUAAAAGCACGUAUUGGGUUGGCCAAAAUGUUCAUUCGUUUUUUUCUGUAAGAUGCCUCUAGUAGCACUUAGUUGUCUUUAACUUCAUUCGAAACAAUUUUGUUAGAUUGUAUUGUGACAGCUGUCGUAUCAGCGUGUAUUUUAAAAAAAUUAUCAAUAUUGGUGAAUUUUUGUGUAACCCUUUUAAUAUUGAAGUUGGAAGAAAAAAGCAACAUUUUCGGCAUAUUAUGCUUUCUAAUUCCAAGAAAGGUUAAAACGCAACUGAAACGCAAAAAAAGAUUUGUGCAGUGUAUGGAGAAGGUGCUGUGACUGAUUGAAUGUGUCAAAACUGGUUUGCUGGAGAUUUCUCACUGGACGAUGCUCCACAGUCUGGUAGACCAGUUGAAGUUGAUAGUGAUCAAAUUGAGACAUUAACUGAGAACAAUCAAUGUUACACCAUGCGGGAGAUAGCUGACAUACUCAAAAUAUCCAAAUCAAACGUUGAAAUCAUUUGCACCAGGUUGGUCAUGUGAAUCACUUUGAUAUUUGGGUUCCUCAUAAGUUAAGCGAAAAAAACCUUCUUGACUGUAUUUCCGCAUACAGUUCUCUAUAUACAUAAUCUACAUAACGAAAACGUUCCGUUUUGAAAACAAAUUGUGAUGGGCAAUGAAAAGUGGAUACUGUCCAAUAAUGUGGAAUGGAAGAGAUCAUGGGGCAAGUGAAAUGAACAACCACCAACCACGCUAAAGGCUGGUCUUCAUCCAAAGAAGGUGAUGUUAUGUAUAUGGUGGGAUUGAAAGGGAGUCCUCUAUUAUGAGCUCCUUCCGGAAAACCAAACGAUUAAUUCCAGCAAGUACUGCUCCCAAUUAGAUCAACUGAAAGCAGUACUCGAUGAAUAGUGUCUGGAAUUAGUCAACAGAAAAUGGAUAAUCUUCCAUCAGGAUAACGCAAGACCACAUGUUUCUUUGAUGACCAGGCAAAAACUGUUAGAGCUUGGCUGGGAAGUUCUGAUUCAUCUUCUGUGUUCACCAGAUAUUGCACCUUCGGAUUUCCAUUGAUUUCAGUCUUUACAAAAUUCUCUUAAUGGAAAAAAAUUCAAUUCCCUGGAAGACUGUAAAAUGCACCUAGAACAAUUCUCUGCUCAAAAAGAUAAAAAGUUUUGGGAAGAUGGAAUUAUGAAGUUGCCUGAAAAAUGGCAGAAGGUUGUGGAACAAAAGGGUGAAUAUGUUGUUCAAUCAAGUUCUUGGUGAAAAUGAAAAAUGUUAUCUUUUGUUUUUACUUAAAAACCAAAGGCAUUUUUCUGCCAACCCAAUAUAUAUUGCAGGCAUAUGCAUGUUUUCCCUUCAUGAAAAUGGAAGCAUGCUAAACACAUUGCAAUAUGCCUUACAUUUUUCACUUAUUUUCUACUUUUUCAGUAUACCUAGAUCAUUCCACAGCCAUGUAUAUAGAUUGACUUCAUUAAAAAAAAAAACUGCAAUAGUUCUUUAUAAAUUGCAUCUGGCAAUGAUGGGCUCUCAAAAAACAUUAAAUGAAUGACUCCACAUAGUUUCUUUCAUAAGCCUCUAAUGAAGACCAUUUUAUUGUUUAUUUCCAGUCUUUUGCAACCACAAGCAAAGCUGAAGUAUAUAUGUUCACACAUCUUUGUGCAUGUGUGUGAAUAUGUCUGUAGGAUAAAUUCCUAGACAAGAAAUUGCUGAAUUAAAAGAUACACUUAUUUCAAAUAUUGAAUGCUAUUGUUGAUCGAUCUCCCACCAGCAGUGAAAGAGAGUACCUGUUUCCUUCAACUCUCUAAUCCUAUAUGUUAAACUUUUUGACUGUACCCAUCUGAGAAAUAAAACAAUGUAUUUCUUUCCCUCGAAUGUUUUAUAUUUUGUUUAUAUAUUUUAAAAGGCUUCUUUAUGUAAAAAUUAUGUAUUAAUCUAUAUAUUUUAUUUAUAUUUCUUUUUCUAUGAACUACUUGUUCAUGUUCCUUUGCCAGUGAGUCGUUUCUCACUGAUAUUUAAGGUCUCUUUGUUUUUUAGUUUAACUUUGAUGUCACAGAUACUGCAUAAUUUCCCAGUUUGUCAUUUAUCUUUUUUUUUUUUUUUUUUUUUGCGGUACGCGGGCCUCUCACUGUUGUGGCCUCUUCCGUUGCGGAGCACAGGCUCCGGACGCGCAGGCUCAGCGGCCAUGGCUCACGGGCCCAGCCGCUCCGCGGCAUGUGGGAUCUUCCCGGACCGGGGCACGAACCCGCGUCCCCUGUAUCGGCAGGCGGACUCUCAACCACUGCGCCACCAGGGAAGCCCUGUCAUUUAUCUUUUGACUUGGGUUUAGAGCAGGGAGGGGGGCAGCACUAGUGGUGGAUACUUGUGUUAAAUUUAUAUAAUUGAAGGGUUUGUUCAUACAGCUUUCCCCAAACCAAGGAGCAUUCUGUCCCAAAGGUAAAUUCAGGUUCCUGCUUCUUACACAGUUGCUUUAAGAUGACAGGGGUUUUUUUCUGCUAGUUUUUGCACAUUAAAAAAAAAAAAAAAAGUGCCUUGAAUUGACGGUCAGGAUGUCCCCUU